AUAUCAAUAAGCGGAGGAAAAGAAACCAACAGGGAUUGCCUUAGUAACGGCGAGUGAUGCGGCAACAGCUCAAAUUUGAAAUCUGGCCUUCUGGUCCGAGUUGUAAUUUGCAGAGGAUGCUUCGGGCGCGGUGCCUUCCAAGUCCCCUGGAACGGGGCGCCGGAGAGGGUGAGAGCCCCGUACGGUUGGCGGCCAAGCCUGUGUGAAGCUCCUUCGACGAGUCGAGUAGUUUGGGAAUGCUGCUCUAAGCGGGAGGUAGACCCCUUCUAAAGCUAAAUACCGGCCAGAGACCGAUAGCGCACAAGUAGAGUGAUCGAAAGAUGAAAAGCACUUUGAAAAGAGGGUUAAACAGCACGUGAAAUUGUUGAAAGGGAAGCGCUUGUGACCAGACGUGCGCCGGGGUGUUCAGCGGGCGUUCUCGCCCGUGCACUCGCCUCGGCGCAGGCCAGCGUCGGUUUGGGUGGGGGGAUAAAGGCGUCUGGAAUGUGGCUCCUCCGGGAGUGUUAUAGCCAGACGUGCCAUGCCUCCGCCUGGACCGAGGUACGCGUUCUGCAAGGACGCUGGCGUAAUGGUCUCCAGCGA
rnacentral:rRNA from 1 species